rnacentral:rRNA from 1 species
GAUCCUGGCUCAGGACGAACGCUGGCGGCGUGCCUAACACAUGCAAGUCGAACGGAGAUUAAGAGGAGCCUAGCUUCAUUUAAUCUUAGUGGCGGACGGGUGAGUAACGCGUGAGCAACCUGCCUUUCAGAGGGGGAUAACGUUUGGAAACGAACGCUAAUACCGCAUAACAUAUCUAUGUGGCAUCGCAGAGAUAUCAAAGGAGCAAUCCGCUGAAAGAUGGGCUCGCGUCCGA